GGAAAACAUUUACACCAUUAGAAAUAAACCCCAGUUGACUCACCUCCUCCAACUUCAGAAUCUGCACUGAAACAAACGUUACACAGAAACAUUACAUUUUAUUUACCCUAUCUUCUAAUACCAUGAAAGCAGCAAUAGAUCACUCUUUGUGCAAAGAUCAAAAUUAAAAUAUGCCUCAACAGGUUACUGUUUGGUCUCAGUGAUCUGCAGAUCAGGAAGACAUGAAUAGCGCGCUGCGAUCGGACAAGUAUAAUGAAAACAUUUCACUGAUGUACCUGGUGAUGCCUGAGAAUGCCAGCUUUCAGAUGAAGCCUUCAGCUCUUUAUCUGAGCUCUAAUGUUUUGUAGAUAAAUGAUCACAUAGUAGUUUUGAAAAGUGCACAGAGACAACCCCAGGACAACAAAGUCCCCCAGCAUCACCUUGAUGGAUCUUGUUGGUAGAGAUACACUCUUCAUGUACUUUCUAUCUGGUUUAACAUCCUGAAUAUAAAUUAUUUCAAAUUGGAAAGUGCU
ensembl:lncRNA